rnacentral:rRNA from 1 species
AUGGCCAUGGUCCUGGAUGCCUUCGCAUCCUAUGUGCAGAGCAUGCUCACAGAGAUGGUGACUGAAGAGGUGCACAUGCUUCUAGGAGUCACAGACGAGAUCGACAAGAUGGAUGUCAAGCUCAGGGACCUCAAGAACUUCCUUGCCGAUGCUGAUAGGAGAAACAUCACCGACACGAGCGUGCAAGAGUGGGUGGGGCAGCUCAAGCGCGCCAUGUAUGAGGCUUCCGACAUCCUUGACCUCUGCCAGCUCAAGGCCAUGGAGCGCGGUCUGUCCACUAAAGAUGUGGGGUGCUUCAACCCCUUGCUCUUCUGCAUGCGGAAUCCCUCCCAUGCCCACGAUAUCGGCACCCGCAUCAAGGUGCUCAACAAGAGGCUCGGCAUCAUCAAGGAGAGAAGCGCUGCUUUUAGCUUCAUCCCUCUUGGUUCCUAUGAGGAUCGUAGCAGCAAGGUGCAAGCCUCUCAUUCUGGAAAUAAGAGACGCGAGACAUCAGGGGUGUUUGACCGGUCAGGUGUAGUCGGAGAGAAGAUCGAACAAGACACAUGGAAGCUGGUUGAGAUCAUGCUGACUGAAAAGGAGGGCAACACCAACAUCAUGCUGGUCGCUGUUGUUGGUGUCGGCGGAAUCGGCAAGACCACUCUUGCCCAGAAGGUCUUUAACAAUGAAGCCUUGAAUGCUGAGUUCGAGAAGAUGAUAUGGUUGAGCAUCAAUAAGGACUUUGACAAGGUUGAGUUGCUCAGGACAAUCAUCACGCAAGCUGGGGGAGUACAUGGUGGUGAAAAGGCAUUGGCUGUGCUUCAGCCAAUACUUGCCGCUACCUUGAAAGGGAAGAAGCUAUUCCUGGUGCUAGAUGAUGUUUGGGACCAUGGAGCAUGGAAUGAUGUGCUUAAAGCACCCUUGGCUAAUGUUUUGGCUCGAGGUAGCCGAGUCCUCGUCACUACUAGAGAUGAAAGAGUAGCUCGAGGGAUGAAAGCUGUGCUUCCAUACCACCAUGUCGACAAGUUGCAAGAGGAGGAUGCCUGGUUAUUGCUCAAGAAACAGAUAAUCUUAAGUGAGACAGAUGAGCGUGAAAUUGAUAUGCUCAAGGAGAUUGGGUUGCAAAUUGUAGCAAAAUGUGAUGGCUUGCCUCUUGCUGUCAAAGUAAUGGGAGGGCUCUUGUGUCAGAAGGACAAAAACCACCGUGAGUGGGAGAUGAUUCUCGAUGAUUCUGUAUGGUCGAACUCUGGACUACCCGAAGAGCUAAACCAUGCAGUAUAUUUAAGCUAUGAAGAUUUAUCUUCUUCUGCCAAACAUUGCUUUUUGCACUAUUCUCUUCUCCCUAAAACUGAAGUUUUUGUUAGCAAUCAAAUCAUUGCCAUGUGGAUUAGUGAAGGAUUUCUUCACGGGAGCUUGGAUGACUUGGAAGAACUAGGAAGCAAGUACUAUAAAGAGCUGAUAUUGAGGAAUCUUAUAGAGCCAAAUACAAAGUAUGUUGAUCAAUGUGUCUGCAACAUGCAUGAUGUUGUACGCUCAUUUGCUCAAUUUGUGGCCAGAGAUGAGGCACUAGUAGCUCAUAGUGGAGAAACUAAUAUUGCUAGUAAACUUAGUGCACAUGGGUUUCUUCGGUUAUCUGUAGAAAGCAAAGCAUCAGAAUCAGAGGGGUUAGACUGGAGUUCUUUGCAACCACAAAAGACACUAAGGGCACUAAUAUCAGUUGGUUGUAUAAAUAUCAAGCCUGGUGAUUCGUUUGUUCAUUUUCCAUCUCUACGAACUUUACAUAUAGAUUCUGCACAUGUUGUAGUAUUGCCUGAAUCUUUGCAUGAACUGAAGCAUUUGAGGUACUUGUCCUUAGAGCACACUGAUAUAUCUAGUCUGCCUGAUAGCAUUGGAAAGAUGAAAUUAUUGCAGUUCAUUAGCCUCAGAGGAUGCAAACAAUUUGUGAAUCUUCCGCAUAGCAUUGUAAAGUUAGGGCGACUAAGGUACCUUAACUUCACUGCAACAAGUAUAAAAGGCAUACCUAGGGGGUUUUGUGCUCUAACAAACUUGAGGACAGUAUUUGGGUUUCCAGCCCAGGUGGAUGGUGAUUGGUGUAGUUUGGAAGAGUUGGGUCCUCUUUCUCAGCUCAAGCAUCUUCAGUUGCAUGGAUUGGAGAAUAUACCUUCUUCAUCUGCAGCAAAGGCAAAGCUUGGCGACAAGGUGCAUCUUACCGAGCUAUUCUUAUACUGUGCUAGUAUAUUGGGAGAUGUUGGGCUGAUUAAGGAGGAAGGUGGUGUCUCUGAGGAAAAGCAACAACAAAUCGAGAAGGUGCUUGAGGAGCUCUGCCCUCCGCCCAGGUUAGAAUAUCUUGACAUCAAAGGAUAUUUCGGCCGAUGGCUCCCAAGGUGGAUGAUGUCUUCAUCAGUUGUGCCCCUCAAGAGCUUGAGGAUUCUGUUCAUUAUUGACCUGGCUUGCUGCAGACAGCUUCCUGAUGGCUUGUGUCAGCUCCCUUACUUGGAGUUCAUUCAGAUCGAGCGUGCUCCGGCCAUCAAGCGUGUUGGACCUGAAUUCAUGCAGUCCUUCCAUCAAAGUCCUCAUUCUUCCAAGAUGGUGCCUGCGUUUCCGAGAUUGCAAAAGAUGAAUUUAAUAGGAAUGGUGGAAUGGGAGGAGUGGGAGUGGGAGGAGCAAGUGCAAGCCUUUCCUGUCUUGCAGCAUCUUAUGCUAAAGCAGUGCAAAUUGAAGUGUCUUCCUCCUGGUCUUGCCUCUCAGGCAGGGGCUUUGAAUAAAUUAAUCAUAUACAAUGUCCAGGGUCUCAUAUCUGUAGAGAACUUCCCAUCUCUGGUUGAGCUGAGUCUGGCUGAAAACCUUGACUUGGAGAGGAUCACUAAUCUUCCCAGACUGCAGAAGCUUACCAUCGAAGACUGCCCAAAGCUGAAGGUGUUGGAGGGUCUUGUUGCACUCCAGAGGCUCGUUCUCUCGUAUAAUGACAUGGGAACAAUCCCAGAAUACAUGGGAGGUAUAAACCCAGGGCAUUUAGAGCUAUACUGCAGCCUAGCACUGCUCGUUUCCAUAGCCGCGGGACAACCUGGUCCUGAGUGGGACAAGUUCAGCCAUGUUGAGCAUGUCAAGGCAUAUGCAUGUGAAAGGGAUAAUCCAAGUAAAUGGUAUGUCUUGUACACUGCUAACCCCUACAACUUGGAGACAAAUGUCAGCCACUCUUUCAUGUCCAGAGGAACCUUGACUUCUUUUGAGGACGCACAAAGAUUUGAGUCUCUCUUCAAAAUGACAAGAAAAACCUUUAGCUACAUCUGCAGCUUGGUUAUGGGGCCAUCAAUGGAAGAUAUGUACAGCUACACCUUUGUUGAUGAGAGGGUGCUGUCCUUAGAAGAUCGGGUAGCCGUUGCUCUUAGAAGGUUGCAGUCCAGUGAGCCAACAGAGAGCAUAGCAUCCUCUGUUGGUGUGAACGAGUCAAUUAUCUUGUUGGUAACUGAGAGGUUCGUUGAUACUGUGCGGGAGCGGGCAGACCACCACUUGAGAUGGCCAGACUCCAGCGAAAUGGAUAAGAUCAAAUCCAAGUUUGACAAGAUCCACACUAUGCAUAACUGUUGCGGGGUUAUAUGUACAACGCACAUCCCAUUUGGACCAAACUGCAAGCAUGAGAAGAAUGAUAGCACACUGAUGCAAGUUGUCGUUGAUCCAGAGAUGAGGUUUAGAAACAUUUGGCUCGGAUCAGCAGGUAUGAACCAGUCGAGCCUUUUGCAGGACUCUCAAAUCUUCAAGGAGUGCGAGAAGGGCGGUUGGCUGAAUGGUAGCAAGCUGAAGGUAGCAUUAGAUGGAUUAGAAGUCGGGGAAUACAUAAUUGGUGAUGCAGGAUAUCCUCUUCUCCCGUGGCUACUCACACCAUAUGAGGACGAAGACCUCUCGGACUCCAAGGCAGAGUUCAAUAGGAGACACUCCGCAGCCACAACCUGUGCUCUGAAGGCGCUGGCAAAUCUCAAAGACACAUGGAAGUGCCUGCAGGGAGAGACAUGGUGGCCAACCGAUCUGGAAACUAGAAUUAAAAUAAUAUGUGUCUGCUGCAGGUUGCAUAACAUAGCCAUAGAAAUGGAGGAUGAUACAGCCAUGCUUAGCACCAAGCGGAGGAAUCUCUCUAAGGAAGUGCGCCAGUUAGCAAAGGAGGAUGCUGUCAGGGCGAGGGAUAUGCUAUCACAAUACUUCUUGGCUGGCAGGUCAUCUGAAUCGGGAGGGGAGGGUGAUGAAACAGCUUCAUCAGGCUCAGGAGGUGAAGGCAAGAAACAAGAAACACAGAUAAGAACAGCAGAUGAAGAGUAA